CUUGGCAAUUGUCCUGUGACACAUAAAAGGUGUGACUCCUUGCUGUAGAUGCACAGUCCUCCCUGAGUUCACAGCAAGAACAUUUUCUCAACAUGAAGCUGAUCUCGUUUGCUCUGCUCCUGGUGGUGGCCCUGGCAUGCCUGGUCAACUGGAGCAGCGCCAUGCCUGAGCCUGACCCCCUGGCUGACCCUGACCCUGGCUUCCGUCGCUUCGGUGGAUUGGGAUAUGGUGGAUACGGCUACGGAAGUCGUGGAUACGGACACGGGGGCUACGGCUACGGAGGAUAUCGACGAAGCUAUUACGGAUAAAGAUAUCCUUGAGGCAGGACUCCUACUUACAAAAUUUUCACUGUCUGUUUUCUUCUCAAAUAAACUUCAUGAAUAAACA